rnacentral:rRNA from 1 species
UACGGGGGGGGCAAGCGUUGUUCGGAAUUACUGGGCGUAAAGGGCUCGUAGGCGGCCAACUAAGUCGGAUGUGAAAUCCCCAGGCUCAACUUGGGAACUGCAUCCGAUACUGGAUGGCUUGAAUCCGGGAGAGGGAUGCAGAAUUCCACGUGUAGCGGUGAAAUGCGUAGAUAUGUGGAGGAACACCUGUGGCGAAGGCGCCUUGCUGGCCAAUUUCGUGACGCUGAGGCGACGAAAAGCGUGGGGGAGCAAACAGGG